AUGAAUACUAUUUGUUGUUAGCGUCAAAGGCCGCUGCAGCAUACAACGUAUCUAAUAAUAAAAAUAAUAAUGAUAAUAAUGUGAACAACUCAAUUCAUUACUUUCAGGGCAAGAUCCAAUAUGACAGCCUUUCUUGCAAAAUAUUUAAAUUAUAACAGUAUGUUCAUUCAGUAUGACAUCAUUUGGUGCAAAUAUUAUUGAACAACCUGGUUUGAAUCCAACUUUUGAGGUAUUGAUUAUUCUCUAAAUAACAUAUUAAUGUACAAAUCCAUUCAGAUUCAAGAACAAAUUCACCACAGCACAGAAGCAUUUUUGCCAUCGGUUGAUGGUGAAUACACUUUUUUUCAAGUUUAUUUCCCAGGAAACUCUGAAAAUGAAGUGUAUCAACGUUGUGCUUUCAAUCGUACAGUUAGGAGAGAGAUUGUCAUUAGGGUUCAACAACUCUUACAUAUACAUAUGAAUAUAAUUCGUUGAUCCAAUUGUUUAAAACAGCAUUAGAACUGAUGCCGUCGAAUAAUCAUAAAAUAGUAAUAAGAGCAGACAAAAGACCUGUACGAAAACAUGAAAUACGCUUCAAUGCACCAACAUUAAAUGAAGUUACCAUCGUGCUUUUUGGAGAAAAUAUGGAAUUUCGCGAUGUUGUAAUUCAACGACGUGAUGUUGACAACUUUAAGCAAAGGAAGACGGAUAUCAUUUUAUGAUGAAGAAGAUUUAUUCAGUAACGGUAUGUGCGUAAUCUACAUGGAUAUGUCAAGAAAUUAACAAAAAGGUCAGCUCAAUGGAUUUUUAUGCAUACCGUUUCAUAAUACAAGUACGUGUAAACAAGAUAAUCACGUUUGGAAAUAUUUCAGAUUAUCUCAACAGUUUACUGUUGGUAUGCACUUUUGUUAAGAUUGAAGCAAAACAUUUAAAUUAUAUACAUACGUUUCAACCAGAAAAAAAUCAUUACGUUCAGAAAAAUAUAUUCGUUAGCGCGAUGCCAUAAACACAGAUGGAAAAAGAAAUAAUGUGGGCCGACUUACAAUUUUAUCAGCAACGUAUGUGGUAAGCCCGAUACACAUGUAUGAAUAUGCUCAAGAUGUUGUGACCAAAGUGCGCCAAUAGGGUAGACCAGAUUUAUUUAUUACUUACAAAUGCAAUCCAAAGUGGACCGAAAUUACUAAUCUGUUAUUACCUCGUCAAUCAGACAGCGAUCGUUAUGACAUAACGAGUAUUCAAGCAGAAACUCAAAGUGCUAAUGGACUUCAUUUUCAAAUAUAAUGUCUUUGGAAAAGUACGCUGUUGGAUGUAUGCUGUAAAGAGGCACCAGAGAGGACCUCACGCACAAAUUCUUUUGUGGAUGGUUGACAAAAUAAGACCAAAUAAAAUUGACUCAAUAAUUUGCACAGAAAUUCCUGAUCCCUAAAGCAUGGGCCAUGUGGCGAACACAAUAGGGAAUCGCUAUGCAAGUUAACGGCAGCCUCCAAACAGUAGCUUAGAGCUCAUUAUAAACCAAACUGUAUCUUUGCACUUAGCAAUAAUACAGCUUCUUAAUAAGCAUCUUUGCUUGUUUAAGUAAUCAA